rnacentral:rRNA from 1 species
AACGAACGCUGGCGGCAGGCCUAACACAUGCAAGUCGAACGCUGUAGCAAUACAGAGUGGCAGACGGGUGAGUAACACGUGGGAAUCUUCCUAUCGGUACGGAAUAGCUCAGGGAAACUUGGGGUAAUACCGCAUACGCCCUUCGGGGGAAAGAUUUAUCGCCGAUAGAUGAGCCCGCGUCUGAUUAGCUAGUUGGUGAGGUAAUGGCUCACCAAGGCGACGAUCAGUAGCUGGUCUGAGAGGAUGACCAGCCACACUGGGACUGAGACACAGCCCAGACUCCUACGGGAGGCAGCAGUGGGGAAUAUUGGACAAUGGGCGCAAGCCUGAUCCAGCCAUGCCGCGUGAGUGACGAAGGUCUUCGGAUUGUAAAGCUCUUUUGGCGGGGACGAUAAUGACGGUACCCGCAGAAUAAGCCCCGGCUAACUUCGUGCCAGCCGCCGCCGUAAAAC